UUUGUCCUGUGCUGAACCGCACGUCUUCUUGUCCAUCAGGUCCAGAAUCUUCACAGCUGUGUCCAAGUCAUCAAUGACUUUGUGUCUCCUGAGCAUGUGGGCAGGUCCUUCCACCUGACCCAGGAGCUGCGCGCCAACAAAGAGGAGGUCAACUAUGAGGAUAAGCUGCAGGUGAAGAAUAUCUUGUACCACUGUGUGAAGGAGGUGGUGAGCUCACUGAAGAGGAAUAACUCUGACAAAGAUCUGAAGGAAGAUAAUUCAUGACACCUAGUUAACCUUGGCCGUGCUAUCCAAAACGACCUCCGACCUUCGCUGGUCUUCAGCCUCACCCUCCUCAUCAUGUGCUGAAGAUGGUCUGCUCAAAGCUGCUCCCAUGACCCUGGAGGCUCUGCAGUGUCAGACCCUAUCUAGUGGUCAACUACAAACACAGCUGAGUCCAUGUUCUGUUGAGCCAAAUGGAGAGCCAGGAUCAGAGUGCCUGCUGGACCCAUGAGACUGAAGCUUCGCUGCCUAGAACCAGAGCAGAGAUGGCUACAGGACACCAACGACCGCUGGAGGAACUCUGACCUCCUUGGCGUGACCUUGGCUUGCUGCAUCAGUGACAGACUGGGCCCUAAGAGCCUCUGAGGGAACUGCUGGGGACAGGAAGCGCCAGCUCACUUUAAUCUGCCUGUGGUUUCUGGGAAGGAAGAUUUUGCUGAAGACAAGAGAGAACCAGGAGAUUAAGGAUGCUUCAUUCAGCAGCCUCUGCUGCCUCUUUUAUUUCCCUUUUCUCUCCAGUUUGUCCGUGUCUUUUCUUUUCUGGACGUUCCCGUCUUUGUUCUCUGUUCUUGGUUUUCUUUGUCAAACUGUCAUUUCUUCCUCUGGAGAGACGUUCCAGCUCUGAUAAUGCAAUGUUAUGAAGAAGAGAGACUUCAUGUAAAUGUGAGCUGUAUAGUUCUUUUGUUUUACUCUGUGGUUUCAGUUGUUAUGAUCUCUACUGUGAUGGAGGACACACACACACGCGCACACACACACACGGGCUAAUGCCUGUGACUUUGGGAAAUAUUGACACUCUCCAGUCCUCAUGCCAUAAAUCUAUUUUCUGAAAAUGAACUGCCAAGCUAUUGUUCAGACUGUAAAGUUGUAUUAUGUAAAGAAAAAGACUUCUACACAACAGUUUAUGAAAACAAAACUAACCGCUGUAAAAUUUUGACAUUUACAAAAAAGAUGUAAUUUAUUUAAGAAUUGUCUUGCUUUUUUUGAUAAGAUUUACUAUUGUGAACUUUUGAGGUUUAAAGGUUAAAAUAAUUAAGAAGUUAACUAUAAAGUGUAAAUAUAUACAUAUAUACAUUAAGUGAAGUAUUUUUUUAAAAGACACCUUGCUUCAAUUUAAAAUUUUGAAGUGCAAGUGUAGAUGCUUUGUACAUUAAAGUUCAAAAAGGUUUUACAUUUUCCAUUAAAAUGGAUUUAUCA